AGCGAACGCUGGCGGCAGGCUUAACACAUGCAAGUCGAGCGGGCAUCCUCGUGGUGUCAGCGGCAGACGGGUGAGUAACGCGUGGGAACGUGCCCUUCGGUUCGGAAUAACUCAGGGAAACUUUAGCUAAUACCGGAUACGUGCGAGAGCAGAAAGGUUUAUCUGCCGAAGGAUCGGCCAGCGUCUGAUUAGCUAGUUGGUGAGGUUAUGGCUCACCAAUGCGACGAUCAGUAGCUGGUCUGAGAGGAUGAUCAGCCACACUGGGACUGAGACACGGCCCAGACUCCUACGGGAGGCAGCAGUGGGGAAUAUUGGACGAUGGGGGCAAACCUGAUCCAGCCAUGCCGGGUGAGUGAUGACGGCCUUAGGGUUGUAAAGCUCUUUUCUCCGGGACGAUAAUGACGGUACCGGAGGAAUAAGCCCCGGCUAACUUCGUG
rnacentral:rRNA from 1 species